AACGAACGCUGGCGGCAGGCCUAACACAUGCAAGUCGAACGAAGUCUUCGGACUUAGUGGCGGACGGGUGAGUAACACGUGGGAACGUGCCUUUAGGUUCGGAAUAACUCAGGGAAACUUGUGCUAAUACCGAAUGUGCCCUUCGGGGGAAAGAUUUGUCGCCUUUAGAGCGGCCCGCGUCUGAUUAGCUAGUUGGUGAGGUAAAGGCUCAGCAAGGCGACGAUCAGUAGCUGGUCUGAGAGGAUGAUCAGCCACAUUGGGACUGAGACACGGCCCAAACUCCUACGGGAGGCAGCAGUGGGGAAUCUUGCGCAAUGGGCGAAAGCCUGACGCAGCCAUGCCGCGUGAAUGAUGAAGGUCUUAGGAUUGUAAAAUUCUUUCACCGGGGACGUUAAUGACGGUACCCGGAGAAGAAGCCCCGGCUAACUUCGUGCCAGCCGCCGCCGUAA
rnacentral:rRNA from 1 species